UAUGGAUCGGUGAUGUUAUUGAUAAACUGCGUUAUCUAUCUGAGACCUGUUAUGGGAAUUGAAGAUAACUUUAACAUGCUGAGAUCCAUU